GGGGCUGAUUCUGGAUUCGACGGGAUUUGCGAAACCCAAGGUGCAUGCCGAGGGGCGGUUGGCCUCGUAAAAAGCCGCAAAAAAUAGUCGCAAACGACGAAAACUACGCUUUAGCAGCUUAAUAACCUGCUUAGAGCCCUCUCUCCCUAGCCUCCGCUCUUAGGACGGGGAUCAAGAGAGGUCAAACCCAAAAGAGAUCGCGUGGAAGCCCUGCCUGGGGUUGAAGCGUUAAAACUUAAUCAGGCUAGUUUGUUAGUGGCGUGUCCGUCGCGCUGGCAAGCGAAUGUAAAGACUGACUAAGCAUGUAGUACCGAGGAUGUAGGAAUUUCGGACGCGGGUUCAACUCCCGCCAGCUCCACCA
rnacentral:tmRNA from 1 species